CUGUGUAUCCCUCUGGGGUGAUGGGGCAACACGCUGUGGGGACUUGAGGGGCAGAGGCCAGCGGCGCUCUGCCCUGAUGCCAGCGCUUCUGCUGGGAUGAGGGGAGUACAAGCCAGUCCUGUAACAAGGGGGUUGGUAGAGCAGAGGCCAGCGGCGCUCUGCCCUGAUGCCAGCUCUUCCGCUGGUAUAGCCUGCAGGACAUCAGGCUCUGGACAAGGGACAAAGGGAGGGCAGAGGCCAACUGCACUCUGCCCAGCUGCCAGCUC